rnacentral:ncRNA from 1 species
AAGGCCUGAUGUGUGUGAGAUUACCCGCUGAAUUUAAGCAUAUAAGUAAGCGGAGGAGAAGAAACUAACUAGGAUUCCCUUAGUAAUGGCGAAUGAACAGGGAUCAGCUCAGUGCCAAAUCGGAAUCACUUGUGGUUCUGAAAUGUGGCUUGAAGGCAGUACCAGUGGCAUCGCGGACGAAAG